rnacentral:lncRNA from 1 species
GGCGUCGCACGCGGGACGAAGAGAGAGAGAGGAGAGAAAAAUGAGGAGAGAGAAGGGAGAAGGAAGAGAUAAAAUCUGACUUUUUUCCAAAUUACCGUUUUGCCCUUCGCGGUAAUUUGAUCGUAUCUUCUUACUUACAACUCCAAUUCGGGUUUACUCCGUGUCUACGGACUCGUUUCGCCGUGCUCUACGCAACGGCGUAAGCGAAAUUCCCAA